ensembl:snoRNA
UAGUGAUGAACCCUAAACUGAAAUAGCUGGAAUUACCGUCAGAUUGUUCAGUGGUGUCAAUCGGUUUUCUGAAC